CAAAACAAGUUCAUAGACCUCAAGCCUCAUGCUAACUGCUAAAGCCAAUGUCUUACAGGAUACAAGCCUGUAGGUUCAUUGCAUUACUGCUGAAUAUAAUAAACCCGAAUAUAAUGCAAAGCAGUGAAUAUAAUAUAGGUAAGCUGGCCCACUGAAGCAUGCUGCCUUUCAUUAGAGCAGGCUGAUUGACUGGUCAGGUUUGUAAGCAUGUCGCCAGGUCACCCUCCCCACCCUCCCGCCCCCCUCCAGUAGCAGUGAUUUGGAGCACCCAGGAUGUCACUGACCUCAUUCAGUGAUCACCUUCUCCACUUCAUCUCAAACCCUGUUGACCUCACCUUCAUCUUUGUCUGCACGCCCUCAAGGAACCCUGACCAUGUGUCCUGGAAACUCAUCCUCAACACCAGCACCAUCUAGCACAUCCCCUGAACAUUCUCUUCCUCUGCUUAUUCCCUUGCAAGCCUGCCUUCUACCAGCCCCCUCUGAUGUUCUCCCCAUCUGCAGCCUUCCUUGGAUCUGGUGCGAUUAUACAGGAGUGGGGGGUUUAAGGUAAAACAAGUCAAGUAGAGUACACUGCACCUUGGGGCCUGCACAGACUCUUCUUCCCAUGGGUGAUACAGUCCAAUAUCUUCUGUCUACUCCGUGGUGGAGUGCAUCUGGAGCAUGUAGCACUGCUACAUGCAUGAGAACUCAGAUAUUAGGAAGGGGAUAGAAGAUCAGCUAACCGUGUAAUCAUGACAGGCUCCUAAAUCUCGUAGGUGCUUUUGAAAAUGUUACUUUGUAGCUCUUUCGCACUUAAUGGAUGUACAUCUGUUUAUACCCACUGA